AUUCGGGCAAGUCUGGUGCCAGCAGCCGCGGUAAUUCCACGCUCCAAAAGUAUAUAUUUAAGUUGUUGCGGUUAAAAAGCUCGUAGUUGGAUUUUGGGCGCAGGCGGCCGGUCCGUCGCAAGGCGUGUACUGGACGUCCUGGCCUUCCCUCCGGUUCUCCGCCGGUGCUCUUGACUGAGUGUCGGCGGCGGCCGGAACGUUUACUUUGAAAAAAUUAGAGUGUUCAAAGCAGGCUCUCGAGCCUGGAUAAUGGUGCAUGGAAUAAUGGAAUAGGACCUCGGUUCUAUUUUGUUGGUUUUCGGAGCGCGAGGUAAUGAUUAAGAGGGACAGACGGGGGCAUUCGUACUGUGCCGUUAGAGGUGAAAUUCUUGGAUCGGCGCAAGACGAACGACUGCGAAAGCAUUUGCCAAGAAUGUUUUCUUUAAUCAAGAGCGAAAGUCAGAGGUUCGAAGACGAUCAGAUACCGUCCUAGUUCUGACUAUAAACGAUGCCAACUAGCGAUCGGGGGGCGUUACAUUGACGACCCCUCCGGCAGCUUACGGGAAACCAAAGUCUUUGGGUUCCGGGGGAAGUAUGGUUGCAAAGCUGAAACUUAAAGGAAUUGACGGAAGGGCACCACCAGGAGUGGAGCCUGCGGCUGAAUUAGACUCAACACGGGAAAUCUCACCCGGCCCGGACACAGUGAGGAUUGACAGAUUGA
rnacentral:ncRNA from 1 species